rnacentral:rRNA from 1 species
GGGAGGAAAAGAAACUAACAAGGAUUUUCUUAGUAGCGGCGAGCGAAAAGAAAACAGUUCAGCACUAAGUCACUUUGUCUUUAUGGCAAAUGUGAGAUGCAGUGUAUGGAAUGUCAAAUUUCUAGUAUGAGAAAUUAACGAUUUAAGUCCUUCUUAAAUGAGGCCAUUUACCCAUAGAGGGUGCCAGGCCCGUAUAACGUUAAUGAUUACUAGAUGACACUUCCAAAGAGUCGUGUUGCUUGAUAGUGCAGCACUAAGAGGGUGGUAAACUCCAUCUAAAACUAAAUAUAACCAUGAGACCGAUAGUAAACAAGUACCGUGAGGGAAAGUUGAAAAGAACUCUGAAUAGAGAGUUAAAUAGUACGUGAAACUGCUUAGAGGUUAAGCCCGAUGAACCUGAAUAUCCAAUAUAGAAAAUUCAUCAUUAUGAUUUAAAUAUUUUUAAUAUUUUAAUAAAAGUGUGCAUUUUUUCUAUAGAGGACAUUGUAAUCUAUUAAUAGAAAUUAAAUUUAUCAUAAGAUCGAUUGCACAAGUUUAUUCAAAUUAUUUUGCUUGCAAUUUAACAUAGAAUAAAUGCUUUUGAUUUGAUAAAGUAUUGAUAGAAUUAUUAUAUAUAGUGCUGGAAUAUUUUAAUAUUCUAUAAUAGCAUAUUAAUUAUAAAUUUUUAUGUUUAUUUUAUGCACUUAUAUGAUUAACAAUGCGAAAGAUUCAGGAUACCUUCGGGACCCGUCUUGAAACACGGACCAAGGAGUCUAACAUAUUUGCAAGUUAUUGGGAAUAAAAACCUAAUAGCGUAAUUAACAUAACUUAAAUUAUUUGGGAUUAGUUUUUAGCCUAUUUAUAGUCUAUUAAUUCAAUCCCGGGGCGUUCUAUACAGUUAUGUAUAAUAAUAUUUAUAUUGUUUAUACCUCUAACUAGAGCGUACCUUGAGCAUAUAUGCUGUGACCCGAAAGAUGGUGAACUAUACUUGAUCAGGUUGAAGUCAGGGGAAACCCUGAUGGAAGACCGAAACAG